CUUCCUUAUUCUUUUUUCUCUUUAUUUCUCUCGUUCCUCUGUUGUUCUUCUGUUUGAGUUUGAUUGAUGAAAUGGGGUUUUGAGAUCAAGGGAAGACGAUGGAUAUCAGUUAAUGAACGUUAACGGUGGUGUUGAUGAUUUGGGUUCAAUGAAAAAGUGAUGUAGAGAAUUUGAAUUAAGGUUUUAGAGUUUGUUUUGAGAUUUCUUGGAAGUGAUUAGUGGAUUGAGUUGUUAGCAUAUGACGAACGGUUGGGUUGGUGUUUAAUUUAUUUUCAGAAGAUGUUCUCAUGAAGAAUCAGAGUUAGGGUUUCUCAGAAAUUGAAUUAGGGCUUGUGAGAAAAGCUAAGGGAAAAUUGAGGAUUUUAUUGAGUAAUUGAUGAUGGGUUUUAUGUUAAUUGAAUCAUAAAGAAGAAUCAGUAGUCGAAUUACAAUUUUAGUGAAGAUUUUGAGAGAAAUUAGGGGUGUUUCAUAGGAUUGUGUAGAAGUACGAUUAGAAGAUGAAUUUGAUGUUCUAAGAAGAGGAUUAGAGAUGGGUUCGGUUGAAUUGAGGAGUUAUAAUUAUGUAUUGAACUCGAAUCAGAAAACAGGGGAUUAAGAAUUACUUUUAGGGUUUUUAUGUUAGUUGAAUCAUAAAGAAGAAUCAGUAGUCGAAUUACAAUUUUAGUGAAGAUUUUGAGAGAAAUUAGGGGUGUUUCAUAGGAUUGUGUAGAAGUACGAUUAGAAGAUGAAUUUGAUGUUCUAAGAAGAGGAUUAGAGAUGGGUUCGGUUGAAUUGAGGAGUUAUAAUUAUGUAUUGAACUCGAAUCAGAAAACAGGGGAUUAAGAAUUACUUUUAGGGUUUUUAUGAGCAUAAGUAUUUGACAUGGAGAUUGUGUGAUGAAGACUAGAGGUCGUUUUUGUUAAUAAGAAGGUGGUGGAGUUAUUGUUGGUGUUGAUUCAAGACUCGGGAGAAAAUGAUGAAGAAGAGUUUGCAUUCAAUUUCUUCAACAAGACUAAUUUGAGGUAACUGUCUUUCCCAGUAAACCUAAUAAAGAUGUUUAUUUCUAUCAUUGAUAUUAUGAGCAGCUACUGAUUAAGAUUGAGAUGGAUAGGGUUGGUUGUGAUGGUACUAUGAUUGUUUUGAAGCUAAUGUAUGAGAUGAGUUAUGGUUAUGGUGUUUCUUUUGAAGUUACAGUUAUGAGGAAUUGUGUUGUUGGCUGUAUGUUGGAAUUAAAUUACUAGUGAACUGAAUUAUGAAUUAUGGAUGUUGAUGGAGAUAUAUUGAAACUGAGACUGAGAUAGUUAGAGGUAUCUCUAAUGAAUCUCUAGAGAAGUAUGAAUGGAUGUGCAUGUGGUGGUUUAUAUGUUGAAUGUAACUGUGUGUAUUGGUUAAAGUGAUAAUGGUGUUGUUGCUGGACUCAAGUUGAAUGUGCAGAUGAAAAGUGUGGCAGAGAUGCGGAAGUGUAAAUGGAACUGAAGUUGCAGUGUAUGGCUGAGAGGAUAGUGCCAAUGGGAUAGUGAAUAAGUUGUAGUUGUAAAGCUAGGUUUGUGAUUAUAUUACAGGAAUAGUUGUUGAGAUGAACUCAGUUGAAGUAGUCUGUGAAUUGUGUAGGAGUUGGUUUGUGCUCUUAAGAUGUAUAAGCCAACUUGGUUGUGGUGUUGUCAUAGCAAAGGGUUCAGCAAAAGCUUGCAACUUCUGUUGUUGUAGUUAGUCUGUAUUAACAACGAUCGAUUCAAAGGAUGAACCAAUGGAUCGUGGAUCUCGAGGUAUGCGUGGCUUGUCAUCAAAAGAGGUGGGAAUACUUUUAACUCUUUUGUGAUUAUUGUUGUUUUCUUUUACCAAAGUUUAAGUUUGAAAAAAUUCAUGCAUUAUCUGAUUGUGUAUUCCAUGCAUUGUUUUAUUUAAAAUUCUGAAAGUACUGUUGAUUUCUUUUAAUCUUCCCAUUGCUUGGAAAGGAAUUGUAAUGCUUUGUUUGUCUUCGUGAAUUGUUUGGAAAAUAAGAAUUUCCAUUUGA